rnacentral:misc_RNA from 1 species
AAGUCGUAACAAGGUUUCUGUAGAAUAAGUCUAUAGGAUGCACCUGAUCCUUCUGCAGUGAAACUUUUGGAAGCCUUUGCAGCCUGGCAACAGGUGUCCAAGCGACAGUAAAUAAUUUGGACGAUGCAAGUCAACUUGGAGAUCGAGUUGGCCACACAAUCGAAUUGCCGGGGACGCUAUAAGGCUUACCACACUAACUCCCCAGGGAAACCUGCGGGAGGGCCUAUGCUAAUCACAUAGGGGAGUAAGAGAGGGUAAGAUAAUGCCAGGUGUUCCUGGCAGCAAUUAGCAAUCCGCAGCGAAGACCCUAAGUACUUUAUCGUAUAUGGGUAACGUCCACAGACUAAGUGGUUGUGGGUGGUAUUAUCAUACUGCUUAAGAUAUAGUCGGGCCCUCUCUGGAAAGUGAGGGGCAAUUCAUUGCAAGACCCGUUCCGUAGGUGAACCUGCGGAAGGAUCAUUAAAGAGAACAUGCCCUUCGGGUAGAUCUCCCAUCCUUUGUUUACAUUACCUUUGUUGCUUUGGCAGGCCCGUCCCUGGACCGCCGGCUCCGGCUGGUCAGUGCCUGCCAGAGGACCCCAAACUCAUAUUAUUUAUAUUGUCUGAGAACUAUUAAUAGUUAAA